rnacentral:rRNA from 1 species
CAGCCUUCUGAAAGGAAGAUUAAUCCAGGAUGGGAUCAUGAGUUCACAUGUCCGCAUGAUUAAAGGUAUUUUCCGGUAGACGAUGGGGAUGCGUUCCAUUAGAUAGUAGGCGGGGUAACGGCCCACCUAGUCAACGAUGGAUAGGGGUUCUGAGAGGAAGGUCCCCCACAUUGGAACUGAGACACGGUCCAAACUCCUACGGGAGGCAGCAGUGAGGAAUAUUGGUCAAUGGGCGAUGGCCUGAACCAGCCAAGUAGCGUGAAGGAUGACUGCCCUAUGGGUUGUAAACUUCUUUUAUAAAGGAAUAAAGUCGGGUAUGCAUACCCGUUUGCAUGUACUUUAUGAAUAAGGAUCGGCUAACUCCGUGCCAGCAGCCGCGGUAAUACGGAGGAUCCGAGCGUUAUCCGGAUUUAUUGGGUUUAAAGGGAGCGUAGAUGGAUGUUUAAGUCAGUUGUGAAAGUUUGCGGCUCAACCGUAAAAUUGCAGUUGAUACUGGAUGUCUUGAGUGCAGUUGAGGCAGGCGGAAUUCGUGGUGUAGCGGUGAAAUGCUUAGAUAUCACGAAGAACUCCGAUUGCGAAGGCAGCCUGCUAAGCUGCAACUGACAUUGAGGCUCGAAAGUGUGGGUAUCAGACAGGAUUAGAUACCCUGGUAGUCCACACGGU